AGAUCCAGCUGCCUGAUGCACAUGGGUGCGAACGCUGAGAAGCUGAAAUUCACAGCGGAGAGUUUAUUCACAAAUGAGGCCAAAUGAGGAGAAGGGAGAAUAAUUCUCAUGUUCCUCUCAAGAGUGAGAGGUUGGAAUAUUUCUGGAUAAACAAGGUGGUUUUAGGCAUUGGUGCAAGGUGACUAGAAGAAACUGAUGAGGUCCUGGGUGUAGUGCCCACGUGCAUCUGGGCUGCAUGCGUCUCGCAUAUUCAAAACGGUGGCACUUAGCAUCUUAAGAGGGUGGAGUUUUCCUGCCCUGUGACAUUAAAGGGCCACCCAAAAGAUACCUUCACAGGUGCAGUUUACGGGUCUGUGGCCCCAACCAGCCCCCAACAGGCUUGCAUUGGGCAGGAUCGGAUGCCAACUUCCUGAAAAACUACUGAGCUGCGUGAAACUGGGAAGGAAAAAGAAAUACCCUCCUUCCCCUUGCAACCUAAAGCCAAAUUAAAUCAAUGAAGGCAGUUUGCAAACGAAAGGGAUUUUAACAAGCUGUUCCCUUAACAGUUCUGUAACACAAGUUCAAGAAAUUUCUAAUAGUUAUCAAUCCCAUUAACUCCAUGGGGCAUGGUUUCAGAAGUAUUACUGGACUUGGAAUCAGAAGAGCCUGGGCUGAACUCUGAAUCCAUCACAUAUUUGUUGGGUGACCUUAAAAGAGCUUCCAGAACACAUCCUCAGAAGUUGUAACCAGAGCAUCUUAAUGAUUUCCAGUCCCCGUGGACCUGGAUGGUGCAUGUAGUUGAGCAGCAGUUGCCUGAAGCCCUUGUUCUUGGCCCUGAGCUGCCCAGUAAGGCUGCAUAGCUGGGAAUUGCAUAAAGUGACAGGAUGCUGGCCUCAGAGUCAUCCUUUUUUUUUUUUUUUUGCAACAGAAAGUGGGCUCAGACAAGCAUUUCCUGUUCUUGGCACUAGUGUGAACACUUCAGAAUAAGGAUUUGCCUCUAUCGACUGAAAUUUCCAAAUCACUAAGAGAAUUUCAUUAUCCCUUGUUAAAAAUGUCUCACCUCUGCUCCAAUAUUGGACAGGAAUUAAAUUUGGUUUU